rnacentral:lncRNA from 1 species
UAGAAAGAAGUCUACACUUUAAAGACAUGUCUCGAGGCCUUCCUCGGGAUCGAAGCAGACCCAACAGCCAUUUUCCUGAUUGAUUGACUGAGAAGGGUAUUCCGCCCUAUUGGUCUUCGGGAUUAUGGUCGCAGCAGACGAAGGCUCACCACAGUGACAGAAAGUUUCACCGAAGUAGAUCCAGAAAUCACACUUCCGAGAGUCCAUUAAGGGCACACCGCUCCGUGGGCACUUGUCUUCGGGGAAAUCCAUCUAAGGUUGCAGCUCCAGAUGGAAAGCAGCUGAGGAGUCCGACAAAGCCGUUGCAGUUCUUCAGCAGAAGCAGAGUUCGUGGAUAUUGCAUGCAGAUGGAUAUUCUAUUUCGGACAUCAGUAUAGCAGGUUAUCAAGGAGUCGAUCACAAUAACAAUUCCACCGCCGGUGCAUUAUCGAAGCUGGCCACUACAGAUGCUUAUAACUUUGACGACAGAUGGCGUCAUUUCUUCGGAUCAGAUGCUGGCAAAGAAGACCAAGUACAAGAGUGUCCAUUUUGUUCUCAUUGAUGAGAAUCUUUAUCGAAGGACCUUUUUCGUCAUCAUUACUUAAACAUUUGGUUCCAU